rnacentral:rRNA from 1 species
CGAGACUGCCAGUAAUAACCGGAGGAAGGUGGGGAUGACGUCAAAUCAUCAUGCCCCUUAUGACCUGGGCUACACACGUGCUACAAUGGUUGGUACAACGAGUUGCGAGUCGGGUGACGGCGAGCUAAUCUCUUAAAGCCAAUCUCAGUUCGGAUUGUAGGCUGCAACUCGCCUACAUGAAGUCGGAAUCGCUAGUAAUCGCGGAUCAGCACCGCCGCCGGUGAAUACGUUCCCGGGUCCUU